rnacentral:rRNA from 1 species
GACGAACGCUGGCGGCGUGCUUAACACAUGCAAGUCGAACGGAAAGGCCCUGCUUUUGUGGGGUGCUCGAGUGGCGAACGGGUGAGUAACACGUGAGUAACCUGCCCUUGACUUUGGGAUAACUUCAGGAAACUGGGGCUAAUACCGGAUAGGAGCUCCUGCUGCAUGGUGGGGGUUGGAAAGUUUCGGCGGUUGGGGAUGGACUCGCGGCUUAUCAGCUUGUUGGUGGGGUAGUGGCUUACCAAGGCUUUGACGGGUAGCCGGCCUGAGGGUGACCGGCCACAUUGGGACUGGGAUACGGCCCAGACUCCUACGGGAGGCAGCAGUGGGGAAUAUUGCACAAGGGGCGGAAGCCUGAUGCAGCAACGCCGGGUGCGGGAUGACGGCCUUCGGGUGGUAAACCGCUUUCGCCUGUGACGAGGCGUGAGUGACGGUAAUGGGUAAAGAAGCACCGGCUAACUACGU